AAAAAUAUUUACAAUCUUCGAUCACUUUCGAAUUUAACAUUUCACUACGAAAUCACUCUUUCCCGUUCAACCAUUCAACUCUUCAAGUUUUUCCAUCGUUUGCGACGUACCUUUUGCUUUAUAUGACCAAAAUUUAUUUCUAACUCCUCCAACAAAGAUGGCUCACCAGGGUAGCCACUCGUGGAAAAAGCAGCAAGCCAUCCUUGGGACAAUGGUUCGUGUAAUGGCUCGUCAUAAAAACCAGCAGCACGAGAUUGUGUGUUGAAAGAAUUGUCAGCUGUAUAGGAAUAAUCGUAGUAUUGUAGAUUAGCUGGGUUGUUGUAGUAAGCCAUCGAAUUUAAUUUUUGGUGAGAAACCUGCUCUUGCUAAGUUAGGAGAGAGUAGGAGGGAAAGGUGGGUAAAAUGGAAGCUCCUCCUUUUCCCCUUCAACUUUGAUUAACAAGCUUUAAAAUAGUAAUCUUCUCUUUUUUUUUUAAGAAAAAAGCCCCAGUGUGAACAGCAGCGAGAAUUUAAGACGGUAAGGGAUUGGGAUAUUUGAAGGUAUCGUUAGUCCCAAUGAACUUCAUGAUAUUAUAAGAUGUUCUGUUAAACUGAUGUUGAAAAUUAUUAUCAGUUCUGUUAUUUUGCUCAUUAAUUGAAAUGUACUUUCGGAUAUCAUCUUUGCAUGAUAUCAAAGUUACAGUCUUUUCUUAAGCUCUUUGAUAUUUUCAUGGCCAGUUCUAUUGACAUAACAAUGAAGAUGAAACAUAUAAAAUUUAUAUGAACUAUUAUUACAAAUGUAGAUUUCUGA